CUCCACUCAUUACCAGGAAUUGGUAUUUCUUCCUUGGAAACCCUAUUUUGGGGAUUAAGAGUGGAAGAGGAAGCGCAUUUGUGUUUGUGAAGUUAUCUACAACCAAUAUAUUAAUGUUACCCUUGCUCGCCGGAUUUCAACCCUUGUGAUCCGAGCUUUAUUUCACCGUCCACCAAUUUAAUUGAGCCUACAUAUCUAUAUAUUGUCUCUACGUUAAGGCCCACACCAUCUCGGCCUUGUAGUUUUAGUUAUUUCUUGUCUAUACUUG